UGGGGAAUUUUGGACAAUGGGCGCAAGCCUGAUCCAGCCAUGCCGCGUGCAGGAAGAAGGCCUUCGGGUUGUAAACUGCUUUUGUCAGGGAAGAAAUCCUCUGGGUUAAUACCUCGGAGGGAUGACGGUACCUGAAGAAUAAGCACCGGCUAACUACGUGCCAGCAGCCGCGGUAAUACGUAGGGUGCGAGCGUUAAUCGGAAUUACUGGGCGUAAAGCGUGCGCAGGCGGCUUUGCAAGACAGAUGUGAAAUCCCCGGGCUCAACCUGGGAACUGCAUUUGUGACUGCAAGGCUAGAGUGCGGCAGAGGGAGAUGGAAUUCCGCGUGUAGCAGUGAAAUGCGUAGAUAUGCGGAGGAACACCGAUGGCGAAGGCAAUCUCCUGGGCCUGCACUGACGCUCAUGCACGAAAAGCGUGGGGGAGCAAACNGGA
rnacentral:rRNA from 1 species